rnacentral:rRNA from 1 species
CGCGUAGGUGGUAGUGUAAGUCUGGGGUGGAAUGCCGGGGCUUAACCCUGGAAUUGCCUUGGAAACUGCAUUACUUGAGUCAGUGAGGGGAGGGUAGAAUUCCUGGUGUAGCGGUGAAAUGCGUAGAUAUCAGGAGGAAGGCCUGUGGCGAAGGCGGCCCUCUGGUGCUGGACUGACACUGAGGCGCGAAAGCGUGGGGAGCAAACAGGAUUAGAUACCCUGGUAGUCCACGCCCUAAACGGUGGGCACUAGGUGUAGGGCUCGUAAGGGUUCUGUGCCGAAGGGAAACCAUUAAGUGCCCGCCUGGGGAGUACGGCCGCAAGGUUGAA